rnacentral:rRNA from 1 species
AACGCGAAGAACCUUACCUGGAUUCAAUCUACUUUGCACCACCGGUAAUGCGGUGUACCCGCAAGGGACGGAGUAGACGGUGCUGCAUGGCUGUCGUCAGCUCGUGCCGUGAGGUGUUGGGUUAAGUCCCCUAACGAGCGCAACCCCUGGCGUCGGUUACAAAUCCGGCGCAACUGCCCCGCACAACGGGGAGGAAGGCGGGGAUGACGUCAAGUCAGCACGGCCCUUACGACCAGGGCUACACACACGCUACAAUGGUCAGGACAAUGGGCUGCAACUCGGCAACGGGAAGCCAAUCCCCAAACCUGGCCUCAGUUCAGAUUGCAGGCUGCAACCCGCCUGCAUGAAGUCGGAGUUGCUAGUAACCGCAGGUCAGCACACUGCGGUGAAUACGUUCCCGGGCCUUGUACACACCGCGAGC